GGAGCCCAGCUGUGCUGUCGGCUCAGGAGGCAGAGCUCUGGGUGUCUCACCAUGGCCUGGACCCCUCUCCUGCUCCCCCUCCUCACUUUCUGCACAGUCUCUGAGGCCUCCUAUGAGCUGACACAGCCACCCUCGGUGUCAGUGUCCCCAGGACAAACGGCCAGGAUCACCUGCUCUGGAGAUGCAUUGCCAAAACAAUAUGCUUAUUGGUACCAGCAGAAGUCAGGCCAGGCACCUGUGCUGAUCAUCUAUGAGGACAGCAAACGACCCUCUGGGAUCCCUGAGAGAUUCUCUGGCUCCAGCUCAGGGACAAUGGCCACCUUGACUAUCAGUGGGGCCCAGGUGGAGGAUGAAGCUGAUUACUACUGUUACUCAACAGACAGCAGCGGUAAUCAUAGCACAGUGACACUGGCAGAUGGGGAAGCAGACUUUGCAGGAAUGAGUCAGGAGUGGAUUUGGGCCUGGCAGGGCCAGACUGCCCUGUGUUUCCUUGCCCACGAUGACAUGAACCAGGUACACUGCUCUAAGUUCUGCCUGAAGGAGAGUGUUCCUCCACCACUGCUGUUCAGGGAAGCCCAGAGGCCAGAUGGGAUAAUAGCACUGUCCACAGCAGGGAUGGCUGCAUGUCCUGCAGAAACUUCUGUAACCCCAGUCUAA